rnacentral:snoRNA from 1 species
AAUUCGUGGUGCGAAAAUUUUUUAAUCAACAUUUUGAAACAUUCCCAUGCCUCAUAGAAACUUUCUCCCUCCAUCUGUCAAAAUCUCCCUUCUUAGUU